GACGUAGACACCACAGAGCCUCUGAAACAUGGCUGAACACCACCUGAUCAGAAGGGUUCAUCAAACGAAGACAUGGCCCUGGAACUUGGCAUUUGAAACUGUCACCAUGGAGACAAGCCUCAAAGAAUUUUGGAAAGAAGCUCUGUUCCAGAACUUUCUUUUUCUAAUUUCCUCAUGUCUACAGAAGGGGAAUCUUAAAAUGAGACAUGAUCUUUAAGAAGAGCCG